rnacentral:rRNA from 1 species
UACGAAGGGGGGCUAGCGUUGUUCGGAAUCACUGGGCGUAAAGCGCACGUAGGCGGAUCUUUAAGUCAGGGGUGAAAUCCCGAGGCUCAACCUGGGAACCGCGCUUGAGACUGGAGAACUAGAGUUCGGGAGAGGAUGGUGGAAUUCCCAGUGUAGAGGUGAAAUUCGUAGAUAUUGGGAAGAACACCGAUGGCGAAGGCAGCCAUCUGGACCGACACUGACGCUGAGGCGCGAAAGCGUGGGGAGCAAACAGG